ensembl:lncRNA
CUUCAACAUACGUUGACAUAGAGCUACCAUUCAAACUUUAAAACGAAGACGAGACAUUCAACUAUUCAACUUGUAUUUAUCUUUUCAAUAUCUGUUAUACUUUUCUUCAGUUCCAGUUUAAGUUUCAUGAUGUUUUUUCAGCCGUUUCAGAGUUUAUAAUGGGUGUGUAUGGGACGGAAUGUUGGGGCUAGAGUGAGACAGCUGAACUGCUAGAGUGAGAGGAGCGAAAAAAUUAAUCUUAAAAUCUUUUUAAAACUGCUGCUGUGUCCGCAGCGUUGGCUCUACAGGUAUGAUUUUACCCUCAAAACGUAGCCAUCGCUGUCCUCUUUCAUCCAAUGUGUUUACUAUUGUACUAGGUGUUAUGGUUCUUUCAUAAAUGUCACCAAAGCACAGCCUCCUCCCUCCAACUCCUCCAUAGACUCUAAUGUUAAAAUGGCUCAGAAGGUUCGUUUGAAAAUCAGAAGAGCAUGGUGUUUUUACACUGUCACCACGUCCAUAUAAUAAACUCCACAGGCAUGAAAACUGAGAAUUAGGUAGACUGGACAUUGCUGCCGCUCACGGUGAAAGAAUUUCGUCAAUAGGACCUGUACUUUUCAUUUGGGAGCGAUUUGUUUCGACCUGACUUUUCUGUUCAUUUUAAGCAGCAAAAGUGAGGUGCAUGUCUGUGAGCGUGUGUACUGAGCCAUUGGGUGCAGUCACUAUAGCAACCAGGCUCACACCUGCCUGCCUAACGAGCUCUGUCUCUCACUCUGCCAAGAUUCAUCUUAAACACUUCUCUUUCAACUGCUGCUGUGUCCACAGUGUUUGCUCUACAGCCAUCAUUUUACCCUCAAAACGUAGCCAUCGUUCUUCUCUUUCCAGCACCUUGUCUUUC